ACAUCACUGAGGAUUGCAAGAC
rnacentral:miRNA from 1 species